GUGAGUUUUAUGUGUCAACUUGACGAGGCUACAGGGUGCCCAGACAUUUGGUUAAAUAUUAUUCUGGGUGUGUCUGCGAAAGGGGGUUUUGGGAUGUAAUGAACAUUUGAGUAAAGUAGAUGGCCCUCCCCAAUGUGGUGAGCUUUAUCUAAUCAGUUGAAGACCUGAAUAGAAAAAAAGACUGACCUUCCCCAAGUAAGGGAGGAUUUUCUCUGGUUCUUCAGCCUGUGGGCCCCCUGCAG
rnacentral:lncRNA from 10 species